rnacentral:rRNA from 1 species
GUCCACGCCGUAACGAUGGAUACUAGCUGUUGGGAGUAAUCUCAGUGGCUAAGCGAAGUGAUAAGUAUCCCACCUGGGAGUACGUUCGCAAGAAUGAACUCAAGGAAUUGACGGGCCCGCACAAGCGGUGGAGCAUGUGGUUUAAUUCGAUGAUACGCGAGGACCUUACCAAGGCUUAAAUGUAGAUUGACCGAUUUGGAAACAGAUCUUUCGCAAGACAAUUUACAAGGUGCUGCAUGGUUGUCGU